rnacentral:rRNA from 1 species
GGCUCAGGAUGAACGCUGGCGGCGUGCUUAACACAUGCAAGUCGAACGAUGAACCUCACUUGUGGGGGGAUUAGUGGCGAACGGGUGAGUAACACGUGAGUAACCUGCCCUUGACUCUGGGAUAAGCCUGGGAAACCGGGUCUAAUACUGGAUACGACCUUCCCGCGCAUGCGGUGUUGGUGGAAAGCUUUUGUGGUUUUGGAUGGACUCGCGGCCUAUCAGCUUGUUGGUGGGGUAAUGGCCUACCAAGGCGACGACGGGUAGCCGGCCUGAGAGGGUGACCGGCCACACUGGGACUGAGACACGGCCCAGACUCCUACGGGAGGCAGCAGUGGGGAAUAUUGCACAAUGGGCGCAAGCCUGAUGCAGCGACGCCGCGUGAGGGAUGAAGGCCUUCGGGUUGUAAACCUCUUUCAGUAGGGAAGAAGCUGGUCCUUUGGGGUUGGUGACGGUA